UACGAAGGGGGCUAGCGUUGCUCGGAAUCACUGGGCGUAAAGCGCACGUAGGCGGAUCUUUAAGUCAGGGGUGAAAUCCUGGAGCUCAACUCCAGAACUGCCUUUGAUACUGGGGAUCUCGAGUCCGGGAGAGGUGAGUGGAACUCCGAGUGUAGAGGUGAAAUUCGUAGAUAUUCGGAAGAACACCAGUGGCGAAGGCGGCUCACUGGCCCGGUACUGACGCUGAGGAGCGAAAGCUAGGGGAGCAAACGGG
rnacentral:rRNA from 1 species